AUUGAACGCUGGCGGCAGGCCUAACACAUGCAAGUCGAGCGGAUGAAGGGAGCUUGCUCCUGGAUUCAGCGGCGGACGGGUGAGUAAUGCCUAGGAAUCUGCCUGGUAGUGGGGGAUAACGUCCGGAAACGGGCGCUAAUACCGCAUACGUCCUGAGGGAGAAAGUGGGGGAUCUUCGGACCUCACGCUAUCAGAUGAGCCUAGGUCGGAUUAGCUAGUUGGUGGGGUAAAGGCCUACCAAGGCGACGAUCCGUAACUGGUCUGAGAGGAUGAUCAGUCACACUGGAACUGAGACACGGUCAAGACUCCUACGGGAGGCAGCAGUGGGGAAUAUUGGACAAUGGGCGAAAGCAUGAUCCAGCAAUGCCGCGUGUGUGAAGAAGGUCUUCGGAUUGUAAAGCACUUUAAGUUGGGAGGAAGGGCAGUAAGUUAAUACCUUGCUGUUUUGACGUUACCAACAGAAUAAGCACCGGCUAACUUCGUG
rnacentral:rRNA from 1 species